rnacentral:rRNA from 1 species
CCCGCGCCGUAUUAGCUAGUUGGUGGGGUAACGGCCUACCAAGGCGACGAUACGUAGCCGACCUGAGAGGGUGAUCGGCCACACUGGAACUGAGACACGGUCCAGACUCCUACGGGAGGCAGCAGUAGGGAAUCUUCCGCAAUGGGCGAAAGCCUGACGGAGCAACGCCGCGUGAGUGAUGAAGGUCUUCGGAUCGUAAAGCUCUGUUGUUAGGGAAGAACAAAUGUGUAAGUAACUGUGCACAUCUUGACGGUACCUAACCAGAAAGCCACGGCUAACUACGUGCCAGCAGCCGCGGUAAUACGUAGGUGGCAAGCGUUAUCCGGAAUUAUUGGGCGUAAAGCGCGCGUAGGCGGUUUUUUAAGUCUGAUGUGAAAGCCCACGGCUCAACCGUGGAGGGUCAUUGGAAACUGGAAAACUUGAGUGCAGAAGAGGAAAGUGGAAUUCCAUGUGUAGCGGUGAAAUGCGCAGAGAUAUGGAGGAACACCAGUGGCGAAGGCGGCUUUCUGGUCUGCAACUGACGCUGAUGUGCGAAAGCGUGGGGAUCAAACAGGAUUAGAUACCCUGGUAGUCCACGCCGUAAACGAUGAGUGCUAAGUGUUAGGGGGUUUCCGCCCCUUAGUGCUGCAGCUAACGCAUUAAGCACUCCGCCUGGGGAGUACGGUCGCAAGACUGAAACUCAAAGGAAUUGACGGGGACCCGCACAAGCGGUGGAGCAUGUGGUUUAAUUCGAAGCAACGCGAAGAACCUUACCAAAUCUUGACAUCCUUUGACCGCUCUAGAGAUAGAGUUUUCCUCUUCGGAGGACAAAGUGACAGGUGGUGCAUGGUUGUCGUCAGCUCGUGUCGUGAGAUGUUGGGUUAAGUCCCGCAACGAGCGCAACCCUUGAACUUAGUUGCCAUCAUUCAGUUGGGCACUCUAAGUUGACUGCCGGUGACAAACCGGAGGAAGGUGGGGAUGACGUCAAAUCAUCAUGCCCCUUAUGAUUUGGGCUACACACGUGCUACAAUGGACAAUACAAAGGGCAGCGAAACCGCGAGGUCAAGCAAAUCCCAUAAAGUUGUUCUCAGUUCGGAUUGUAGUCUGCAACUCGACUACAUGAAGCUGGAAUCGCUAGUAAUCGUAGAUCAGCAUGCUACGGUGAAUACGUUCCCGGGUCUUGUACACACCGCCCGUCACACCACGAGAGUUUGUAACACCCGAAGCCGGUGGAGUAACCAUUUUGGAGCUAGCCGUCGAAGGUGGGACAAAUGAUUGGGGUGAAGUCGUAACA